GACGAACGCUGGCGGCGUGCCUAAUACAUGCAAGUCGAGCGGACAGAUGGGAACUUGCUCCCGGAAGUCAGCGGCGGACGGGUGAGUAACACGUGGGCAACCUGCCUGUAAGACUGGGAUAACUUCGGGAAACCGGAGCUAAUACCGGAUACGUUCUUUUCUCGCAUGAGAGAAGAUGGAAAGAUGGUUUCGGCUAUCACUUACAGAUGGGCCCGCGGCGCAUUAGCUAGUUGGUGAGGUAAUGGCUCACCAAGGCGACGAUGCGUAGCCGACCUGCGAGGGUGAUCGGCCACACUGGGACUGAGACACGGCCCAGACUCCUACGGGAGGCAGCAGUAGGGAAUCUUCCGCAAUGGACGAAAGUCUGACGGAGCAACGCCGCGUGAACGAUGAAGGCCUUCGGGUCGUAAAGUUCUGUUGUUAGGGAAGAACAAGUACCAGAGUAACUGCUGGUACCUUGACGGUACCUAACCAGAAAGCCACGGCUAACUACGUGCCAGCCGCCGCGGUAA
rnacentral:rRNA from 1 species